rnacentral:rRNA from 1 species
GACGUCUACGAGUUUGAUCAUGGCUCAGAACGAACGCUGGCGGCAUGCCUAACACAUGCAAGUCGAACGAACCCUUCGGGGUGAGUGGCGCACGGGUGCGUAACGCGUGGGAACCUGCCCUUAGGUUCGGAAUAACAGUGAGAAAUCGCUGCUAAUACCGGAUAAUGUCUUCGGACCAAAGAUUUAUCGCCUUUGGAUGGGCCCGCGUUGGAUUAGCUAGUUGGUGGGGUAAAGGCUCACCAAGGCGACGAUCCAUAGCUGGUCUUAGAGGAUGAUCAGCCACACUGGGACUGAGACACGGCCCAGACUCCUACGGGAGGCAGCAGUGGGGAAUAUUGGACAAUGGGCGAAAGCCUGAUCCAGCAAUGCCGCGUGAGUGAUGAAGGCCUUAGGGUUGUAAAGCUCUUUUACCAGGGAUGAUAAUGACAGUACCUGGAGAAUAAGCUCCGGCUAACUCCGUG